rnacentral:rRNA from 1 species
GAUGAACGCUGGCGGCGUGCCUAAUACAUGCAAGUCGAGCGAACAGACGAGGAGCUUGCUCCUCUGACGUUAGCGGCGGACGGGUGAGUAACACGUGGAUAACCUACCUAUAAGACUGGGAUAACUUCGGGAAACCGGAGCUAAUACCGGAUAAUAUAUUGAACCGCAUGGUUCAAUAGUGAAAGACGGUUUUGCUGUCACUUAUAGAUGGAUCCGCGCCGCAUUAGCUAGUUGGUAAGGUAACGGCUUACCAAGGCAACGAUGCGUAGCCGACCUGAGAGGGUGAUCGGCCACACUGGAACUGAGACACGGUCCAGACUCCUACGGGAGGCAGCAGUAGGGAAUCUUCCGCAAUGGGCGAAAGCCUGACGGAGCAACGCCGCGUGAAUGAUGAAGGUCUUCGGAUCGUAAAACUCUGUUAUUAGGGAAGAACAAAUGUGUAAGUAACUGUGCACGUCUUGACGGUACCUAAUCAGAAAGCCACGGCUAACUACGUG